AGCAGCCGCGGUAAUUCCAGCUCCAAUAGCGUAUAUUAAAGUUGUUGCAGUUAAAAAGCUCGUAGUUGAAUUUCGGGAUUGACACAUCGGUCGUGCCUUAAGGGGUAUGAACUGGUGUAGUCAAUUUCUCACCUUCUGGAGAACCGCGAUGCCCUUAAUUGGGUGUCACGGGGAACCAGGACCUUUACUUUGAAAAAAUUAGAGUGUUUAAAGCAGGCAUUUUGCUUGAAUACAUUAGCAUGGAAUAAUAAAAUAGGACGGCAUGAUUCUAUUUUGUUGGUUUCUAGGAUCACCGUAAUGAUUAAUAGGGAUAGUUGGGGGCAUUAGUAUUCAAUUGUCAGAGGUGAAAUUCUUGGAUUUAUUGAAGACUAACUACUGCGAAAGCAUUUGCCAAGGAUGUUUUCAUUAAUCAAGAACGAAAGUUAGGGGAUCGAAGACGAUCAGAUACCGUCGUAGUCUUAACCAUAAACUAUGCCGACUAGGAAUCAGACGAUGUUAAUUUUUUAAUGUA
rnacentral:sRNA from 1 species